rnacentral:tRNA from 4 species
GGGCCGUUAGCUCAGUCCGGUAGAGCGUUCGUCUCCAAAACGAAAAGUCGGAGGUUCGAAUCCUUCACGGCCCGCCA